AUUGAACGCUGGCGGAAUGCUUUACACAUGCAAGUCGAGCGGCAGCGCGGGGGCAACCCUGGCGGCGAGCGGCGAACGGGUGAGUAACAUAUCGGAACGUACCCCGUCGUGGGGGAUAACACAGCGAAAGCUGUGCUAAUACCGCAUACGACCUGAGGGUGAAAGCGGGGGAUCGCAAGACCUCGCGCGAUGGGAGCGGCCGAUAUCGGAUUAGCUUGUUGGUGAGGUAAAGGCUCACCAAGGCGACGAUCCGUAGCUGGUCUGAGAGGACGACCAGCCACACUGGAACUGAGACACGGUCCAGACUCCUACGGGAGGCAGCAGUGGGGAAUUUUGGGACAAUGGGGGGCAACCCUGAUCCAGCCAUUCCGCGUGAGUGAAGAAGGCCU
rnacentral:rRNA from 1 species